AUGAAGAUAUCACUGAUUCUACUGCUGCUCACCCUGGGGCUCCUUGUUCAGGGUUCAUCAGGAGACAUCAUCCUGACUCAGUCUCCUGGAUCUCAGUCUGUUGUUCCAGGAGAGACUGUCUCUAUCACAAGUAAAGCCAGUUCAAGUGCUGGUACUUAUCUUAAUUGGUACCUUCAGAAAUCUGGACAACCUCCUACACUCUUGAUUUAUUAUUCCACAAGUCGUCAGUCUGGAGUUGCAGGUCGUUUCAGUGGGAGUGGAUCUGGAACUGACUUCACUCUGACCAUCAGUGGAGUUCAGACUGAAGAUGCAGGAGAUUACUAUUGUCAGCACUGUAACGGCUUCCCGUUCACACAGUGA